UAUUAGUUUACCUUUGUGAGAUUUCUUACUGACUAUUGGCCUAACCUCAGUUCACUGAUACUUUCUUCUGCCAGCUCAAGUCUACUGAUCCUUUACAUUGAAUCACUCUGUAAAGCUGAUUGGCUAGUGAGGAAGAAAAUAACUGACCCAAUCUCUCCCAUGGUUCAAAAGCCUUUAGUGUCUCCCACUUACCAUUGAGGGAAAGAUGAAAUGAUUUAACAUAGAAUGUAAGGCAUGGUCCCAUCUAGUGUCAACUUCAAUCACCAGAUUUCAUUCUCUGCCAUUCCAGAAAUUCAUAUCCUUUGCUGUAUCCAAGGGUUUCCCAAACCUGGCUGUGCCUUAGUCCCAUCUAGAAGCUUUUAAAACAUACCAAGCCCAGGACUCACGUACAGAAUUAAUUCACAAGCUUCAUAGUGGAAUUGUGUAUCCCUCUGCUUUAAAAUUUUCCAGAUGAUUCUAAUAUAGGUCCAAUUUUUUUAAAGUUCUAAGGCUUAGACUCUUUUUGUAUUAACAUUUCCAAACUGUUUCUUCUUUGUCCUGCUUGAUUCUCUUGUCCCUUUCCAACUCAUCAGUUUCAGAAGAUUUCACAUAUUUUCUCUCUCUCAAAAUCUAUAACUGCACAUAUUUCCUUCUUUCCUCCUCGUACUCCUGUGUUCAUCAGAUCAGAUUGUCCCAAGCCUCCUGCUGAGGAAAGAUGUAGUGAUAAAUAUUUGGGAGGCAUCUCUCAUGACCUGCUUUAUAGCCCCCACUGAGGACCUGUAAGACCUCUGUCUCUUAUCUGCCCAGAUAAGAGCUAUCAAACUCCUCACUCUGAUAUCAGCAAUGGCGACUUCUUUGGAUGGAGCUCGAUGGUGGAGAAAGACUCCAGGAAGAACACAGAAUAUCUCAGUGUCUUCUCUGCUGGGAGCCAACUCCCUCACCCCCAGAGAGGUCUUCACCAACAGAUCAAUAAAGGAAACGCGUCAGCUGGGUGACCGUGGUUGGGAAAAAGAGGUGAACAAGCUCAGCACGGUCUGUGGAGGUGUCGAGCUCACUCCCCACGGCCUUCUCUGUUUCAGACUUGACAAAAUGUCUUUCUUCUCAUCAUGGAUGAAAGCUAUUUUCCUUAUUGCCUUGCUAUUUCCUCUUCACUCUGAAUCUGCUUUUUCACCACCAAAAAACAUUCUAAGAAGAUGAAUCUGGUGGAAAAUUUGAUUUUUUGUCAUUAUGGUGAAUGCUGACUCUGCCAGAGUUACACAUUCCUACGCCUUUUAUUGCAAUCCUCUUUUGCAGUGGAUUCUACAAGCAAUUAGAGUAUUCUCAACCAGAGUUUUAAAUUCCAAGAUGACUGGACAAAGCCUGCUCUAGUAUACAAGAUGGAAUAUAGGAUGUUGAAGAAUUUUUCCAAUUCUAAGAAACUGUGAUUGAAAAAUUUUUAUCCUGUUUGUUGAAUUAUGAAUGACAGUUGCAAAAUUAUCUUAAUUGUAUUUGACAAUAUAAAA
rnacentral:lncRNA from 1 species